GGCUCAGGACGAACGCUGGCGGCGUGCCUAAUACAUGCAAGUCGAACGGUCUUUCUAUGGAAGCUUGCUUCCACUGAGAAGAUAGUGGCGAACGGGUGAGUAACACGUGGGUAACCUGCCCAUAAGAGGGGGAUAACAUCCGGAAACGGGUGCUAAUACCGCAUAGUUUUCUUGAUCGCAUGAUCGGGAAAGGAAAGACGGCCUUUGUGCUGUCGCUUAUGGAUGGACCCGCGGCGUAUUAGUUAGUUGGUGAGGUAACGGCUCACCAAGACGAUGAUACGUAGCCGACCUGAGAGGGUGAUCGGCCACAUUGGGACUGAGACACGGCCCAAACUCCUACGGGAGGCAGCAGUAGGGAAUCUUCCGCAAUGGACGAAAGUCUGACGGAGCAACGCCGCGUGAGUGAAGAAGGUUUUUCGGGAUCGUAAAACUCUGUUGUCAGAGAAGAACAAGUUGGAGAGUAACUGCUCCAGCCUUGACGGUAUCUGACCAGAAAGCCACGGCUAACUACGUGCCAGCCGCAGC
rnacentral:rRNA from 1 species